GACGAACGCUGGCGGCGUGCUUAACACAUGCAAGUCGAACGGAAAGGUCCUGCUUUUGUUGGGUGCUCGAGUGGCGAACGGGUGAGUAACACGUGUGUAUCCUGCCCUUGACUUUGUGAUAACUUCAGGAAACUGGGGCUAAUAUCGGAUAGGAGCUCCUGCUGCAUGGUGGGGGUUGGUAAGUUUCGGCGGUAGGGGCUAGACUCGCAGCUUAUCCGCUUGUUUGUGGGGUAGGUGUUUACCAGGCUUUUGACGGCUAGCCGGCCUGAGAGGGGUACCGGCCACAGUGGGACUGAGAGACGGACCAGAAGCCUACGGGAGGCAGCAGUGGGGAGUAUUGCACAAUGGGCGGAAGCCUGAUGCAGCAACGCCGGGUGCGUGAUGACGGCCUACGGGUUGUAAACAGAUUUCGCAUGUGACGAAGCGUGAGUGACGGUAAUGGGUAAAGAAGCACCGGCUAACUACGUG
rnacentral:rRNA from 1 species